rnacentral:lncRNA from 1 species
GCUCGCGUGCACGUUUGGUUGCAGAAUAGAUCAGCACUGCAGUGCAGUGAAACUCUCUGCUCUGGAGUCCAACUUAACUGGGCAGGGCUUCCCUCGUGUUGAGACAGGUUGAGGAAGAGGAAGGCCAUACGAAAGGACAGGACUCCACCCACCCGCCAUUAAUGUCUUGGUUCAUAUCCUUCCUCCAAGCUAGCAGAGACUGUGGCUUUGAUGCAAGCCAUUCAUACGUUGGGGCGGGGGUGGAGAUGGCAUGGCUUUAAAGGACAUGGUUUUAUCACGUGGUGCAUUUAAAUCUUUUCAAGAAGACCAAACCAUUGCUUGCUGUUUUCCUGCGUUGAUCCCCAUUUCCUCUGCCUUGAUCCCGCCGAACUUUGCUUUUCAAACCGGUUAAGCUGCAACAUUCAGGCAGAAACUGGUAUGGCAGCAAACUAGUCCCAUUAGUGUUUUCUUGCCUAAAUAGUGUGCAGAAUUUAGUCGAAAUUUCAUUUCAAACUGUCAGCUUUAUAGGGCAGUGUGCAGGUUGCUUUUGAAGUUCAUGAAGUCGUAAGAAAAAAAGCCCCCAAAGUCUAAAAACGACAUUUAAAAAUGUUUGCAAUAAGAUAAAAAGGAUACAUACUAUUAGCGUACAAAGGUGACCUCACAAUCUGCCAUAUCACUGACUUCCUAUCAUACCUUGAUCCUAAAUGUGUGACUAGAUUUGUGGGUUUCAUUUCUCAGUAAGUAUGCUGAGGAAAGGAGGGUUAGUUUCUGCCUUUGCAAAAAUGGAUGAUGGUGGUGCUUAAAUUAAGCAAAAACCUAGACUCAGUGCUUGAUUCUAUUACAAAUUAAAACACAGUGCAUUCUAACUUUUGUUAUCUGUCCUAUGACUCUGUUUGGCAAGUACAUGCUGACAAUAUUCAGUAGUUGGUAGUCCUCAUAUUGCACAUUGAUAAAUGACUGCACUGUGAAUUCGACGCACACAAAAAAUUGGCCGGUGGAACUUGGAAUGAUAAGGCUAAACAUUAGUUCACACUGAUUUGCUGAAUUACUUUAAAGAACCUGCAGCUCAAAAUUUACUAGCGUGCAGGUAUGCUUGGGGAAUUCAGUUUCUGUGAAACCACCUGAUUUGCAGCUUUUGGGUUGAAGUGUAGAUGGGAACGUUGUUUAUCCUUCAGCUUCUGCACCUGUCCAAAUUGCUCAGUACAGGCCUUGGCUGAAGAUGUGUAAUUUAGAAUAAAAUAUUUUUGGAAAUGUGUACACCAAGAUUAACUGCCUAUUUAAAUAUGUAUUUUGCGAUAAAACACAUAUUUAAAUAUGAUUUCUUGUGUAUGUUUUCCAAAAAUGCAUAUUAAUGUGGGAAUUGGAUGGAAUGAGCUUAUUGGUGAACACGCAUGAAACUGAGGCAGACCAGAAACAAACUGAUCAGUCCAUCUUGGAUUCUGUAGUCAUCUUUGUGAUAACUAAGUUUCAAAAAGAUCUUCCAUGUGGCAUGGGAAAACCAUUUUAGCCAAUCACCUAGCAGAAUCCUCUGCCGAUUCCCAUUUUCUCCCUGUCUUCCCUCUCUGUCUCCUCCUGCCUCUCUGCUUUCCUUUCAUUCCUUAUUUCAAGAGCUUACAUUCUUCCUUAUCUUCUUCCUUUCUUUCCUCUGCUCUCCAAUUUUUUGCCUCCACCCGCUUCUCCUUUUCUCCCGCUUCUAGAAGAGGAACAAAAAUGUAUCAAUGGGACUCCUGCGCUGACUGUGUGAGUUCGCUUCUUUGCUGACCUGCGGAUUCCCAGGCUCUAAAUGAAAAUGUUAUGGGAAACGCUCGUUUUGCUGCUGGAAAUGUCAGCUACGUGUCUCAUCCAGCCCUAACCCCUCCUCUCUCUUUAACAUCUAGUUAGGGAAGAAAGUCUUCCCUGCGUUGGGUGCUUCCUCCUGCAACACCAGCUGCUAUUGACUGAAAGCGGGUGAAUGCACUACAUGUUCUCAUACGAUGCAUUUCCAAAUUAUGGUAUAGAGGAAGAGGGCACAGCGCCAUUUUGAGCAGAAAAUGCAUUUCUACCACACGUGAGAACAGAAGAAGACCAGAGGUCCAUCUAGUCCAGCGUCUCAUGGUAGCCAACCAGAUGCCUCUGGGAAGCUCACAAGGUGGACAUGAGAGCAAUAUCACUCUCCUACUCAGUUGGAUAGUCAUUGGACAUGCUGUCUCGAUUCUUGGAGGUAGCAUAGGGCCAUCCUAACUAAUAGCCAUUGGCAGUUUCAUCAUCCUUGAAUUGGGCAAAUCCCCUUUCAAAGCCAUAUGUAAUUUGAGUGUUCUCAGAGGAGUCACCGGUUGGACCCCAUAAAAUCUGUGGUUGUAUCCAGUGCUGCUCCAACCCAGAGCAGACCCACUAAAAACAAGGAAGAUGACUAACUUUUAAAAAAGAGAAAAGGUAAAGGACCCCUGACGGUUAAGUCCAGUCGCACUCUGGGGUUGCGGUGCUCAUCUCGCUAUACAGGCCGAGGGAGCUGGCAUUUGUCCGCAGACAGUUUUUCCGGGUCAUGUGGCCAGCAUGACUAAGCCGCUUCUGGCACAACGGAACACUGAAACCAGAGCAGCACACAGAAACGCUGUUUACCUUCUCACCAGAGUGGUACCUAUUUAUCUACUUGCACUUUGACGUGCUUUCGAACUGCUAGGUUGGCAGGAGCGGGGACCGAGCAAUGGGAGCUCACCCCGUCGCAGGGAUUUGAAUCGCCGACCUUCUGAUCGGCAAGCCCCAAAGGCUCAGUGGUUUAGACCACAGCGCCACCCAUGUCCCGAUGACUAACUUAGGUCUGAGUAAAACUUGGUUGUAGUCAACCACUGGUGCCCAGUUUUCUAUAACUUGGGUGGCAAGUGGUUUUAUUUGGCCAAGCAUUUCAGGAGAAAUGUAGGAAGUUGCCUUGUACUCAGUCAGAUCCUUGGGCCAUUUAUCCCAGCCCCUUAACCAUGGUCCUUACCCCUAGCAGUAACUUGUGAGAGCUAUGCUAUGUUAUUUGCUUGAUUAUGAUCAUGUGUUCAAUCAUUAUUAAUCUUUUUCGUUAGCUGCCUCACAUGCCUUCGGUAGAAAAGUGAGGGGUAUCAACUUCUGAAAUAAAUAAUGGGAUGAUGGUGUAGAUUCUCAUCUGGUUAUUUGGUAAUAUUAUGGUGUAGUCCUUAGAAGCACCAGUUCUUGCGAGAGAGAAAAGGCAACUAGCUAUUUCUAGGAAGACAAUAGCAAAUUAUCUUAUCAUGAUUUAAUUCUGUUUGCGUGUGAGUUUUAGUUUAUGUUAUGUUGCUUAAUAGCUCUGGAUUGUCAAACUUUUCCUGGGACAAAGUUCAAAGGGCAAAUUAGAAAAGGGGGAAAGAUGAAAUAACAGGCUGUAUCCAUCAGUGGCUUUGUACAAACAGAAAGUGCCUUUGCUUGGGCAAGGUAAAGGUAAAGGGACCCCUGACCAUUAGGUCCAGUUGUGACCGACUCUGGGGUUGUGGUGCUCAUCUUGCUAUAUUGGCCGAGGGAGCCGGCGUACAGCUUCCGGGUCAUGUGGCCAGCAUGACUAAGCCACUUCUGGCAAACCAGAGCAGCGCACGGAAAUGCCGUUUACCUUCCCGCUGGAGUGGUACCUAUUUAUCUACUUGCACUUUGUGCUUUCGAACUGCUAGGUUGGCAGGAGCAGGGACCGAGCAACGGGAGCUCACCCCGUCGUGGGGAUUCGAACCGCCAACCUUCUGAUUGGCAAGUCCUAGGCUCUGUGGUUUAAUCCACAGUGCCACCCAAGGCAGGGCACCCAAUUUUUGGUGAUUCCCCCUUUCUCAAAGCAGCCCUCUGUGUCAUAUCCCAUAGUUCCCCAGUCACUAGGAUCAGCUUUAUUUGUGAGGGGGUUGCAGAAGGCUGCAGUGGAUGAAGGUGGGAAUGGGUGGAAACCAGGUGUCUAGUGUUUCCUGCUAGUACAAUACCACCAUUGGAUGUAACCUUGUGCCCCAGAUCUGUUUGCAUUGAUAAUUUGUCAUGGGUUCCUCCGCGGUGUUUGAAAGUACUGCAUGAUCACACAGGCUGCCUGACUAAGUCAGUGUACCUGGCUGUGCGAUCCAUACAAAAUUUGCAGUAAAUGUUCGAUGCGAGUAUUAGCUCUGAGGAUAGGACUGCUAGACACAGACUGAGUCCAGAAUGUCACAGCGAGACUGCUUCACACUUGAUUACUCAGCUCUGGACAACUUGCAACUGAGCAUUUUGAGCCAAUUCAAUUGAAAAGCAUCAUGCUUGAGGUGACAUGAGGGGAUAUCAAAGUGAUCUGGAAUAUUUGAUCUGUGCUAAUCAGGUGGUGUACAGUUGUGUGUGGACUGCGCCUAAAUAUGAGCAAAACCCGGAGAAUGUAUAUGGGCAUGGUACUGGCGGUGCAGCAGGCAGAUUUUGUAUAUAUGGAAUUAUAAUUGUAUUAUAAUAAGAUAAGAUGGUUAUAUGACAUCUCCCAUUGCAUGUUAAGUUUGCAACCUUGUGGUAUCAGCCAUUGCUCCUCAGUGGAGAGUGAGCCUUUGCAAUAAACAGAUGUAAGGUGGACUAGACUUUGAGAAGCUUAAGAUCUCAGAUUCAGAUCUGGCCAUUCUGACAUUACAAAGACUUGUAUCACCAGUAUUUUUUUGCCAUGCGCCUUAUAAAAACCGAGGCAGGGAAAAGUAAUACAGAAAACUGACUCUCAAAACAUAUAUGGUGGUAGUCUAGGGUGAGGGCAAGGAACCUCCUUCACAAAAGGAGAGAAAAUCCAGAAGGGAAGGGGUUGGCAAACUUUAGCAAAGGGGCGAAUUAUCCAUGGGGUGAGAAGAACUGACUCUCUUGUAGUUGCAUCAGUCAGCAAGAUGCAGUUUGGCUACAUGCAGUUUUGCUCGCUUGUGCACAGUACAAUAACCCUCCUUUUCACCCUGUGUCACUCUGAAAGCCAGGCUAAUAGCAUAAUGUGCGAUUUUGCUAUAUACGAUGCACAGCCUGAUUGUAUGUUCCAGACAGAUACAGAUGCGUCAAAAUCCAUAUCUUAUUUUUAUCUGGCCUUAGAUCUCACAAUUUCUUCCUUUCAGCAGCAAGCUUUUAGCGCAUUAUUGCAAGCUCCCUUUAACCAAAUCCGGGCUCUUAGUCCGCAUAUCUUUAUUUGCACCUGCUUAACAGAGCCACUCUCUGGAAAGUUGUUAGAUAUAUGUACAAAUAUGGCAUGUGAGGACCCCUCUUUCCUUCAAAAUGGGAAUGAAGUGGGUUGACAAGCAGUAUUUAAACAGGAGGGGAAACAUUACUUUCAAAGCAAUUGAGUAGCAGGGAGGGAUUUAUUUUAUUUGCAAUUUCUUUUUUUUUGAUAGACCAGUCCUUUAUAAAAAAUAGUGAUUUGAGAGAAGGGAAUCUAUCUGUUUGUCUGUCUAUCUCUCUAUCUGUAUUGUCAAGGCAACUGACAUCCUGAACAGAUGUUAGGUUUUUUAAUAAACCCGGGUGUUGGAUUUGCAAGUGUCUCUGUAUGCCCAGAUAUGGCCAGUAUUUGACAGAGCGUCUCACCCUAUCUAAAAAAGCCCAGAGAGUCCCUCAGAUGAGUCCAAAGGGGAGUAUGGAACAGCUGAUAUAAAUAGUCUUCAUUCUCAGCUGCCCUUCUGGUGAAACUGUAUUCAGGAGGCAUCCGGGCAUUCAAGUAGGGCAAGGCUGCCUCUUGAUAACCGAGUGUCGAAGUGCAAUGUGAUCAGUGACCAAACAGCUGUGGGGACGGGAGCCACUCCUGCCAAGGCCUUACAUAGGCAGAUCAGCAGAGGCAUUUCAGGGACUGAGGAAUCCGGUGAGCUAACAGCGACCGAGAAUAAAGUUCAUUUCCAAAAGGACAGGACACCAGAGCCCGAUUGUGAAAGUCACACGUUCUCAGUUGGAGCCUUGGGAUGACCGGCCGUUCUUUUUUUAACUUCUUCGGCGGAGUCUUUGGAAAGAGCAUAAGUCCAAGCAAAAGUUAAGCAGGGAAAAGGGAGGUGUGUGUGUGUGUGUGUGUGUGUGUGUGUAAGCCCUGCAGAAGUGACGUCAGCAAAGGAAGGUGCACAGACCCUGCUUCAAAGAUAAUCCUCUGCCUGCUCCAUAGUAGUUGCAGUGGGACCCACGCAGGGGGGAGAAAUUUAAUUCAGUUCAUAUUUGAAGGUUAACUAACCCAGUUUGCACUUUCCCAAACAACUUUCUGAAACAACUGAAACGCUAGCCAUCCUCUGAAAUUUCCACUUGUCUGAAUUUUGCAGCGCAGUUCUCCGGUCAACUAAUGUGUACAAAAAUGCAUGUAAGCAGGUAAAGUGUGCAAAGAAAUGAAUCUAUCCAUGAAAAUAAAAUGCAAGCAUGCAUUAUAUUAAUGAAAAUUGCUUUGCAAAAACUUGCAUUAUAUUAAUGAAAAUUGCUUUGCAAAAACGUGCAUUAUAUUAAUGAAAAUUGCUUUGCAAAAACGUGCAUAGGCAAAACUGCAUGCAAAAAUUAUGUAUAUUAGGAGAAAACAGCGCUAACAUGCUGAAGAAUCUUCUUGAGGGCUUUAAUACACACACACACACACACACACACACACACACACCACAAACUGAUGUGGAAAUGUGGACAACUGAAGUUAAGGGUGGGAAACAGAGAAGCCAAAAUUGACAGAUUUGCCCAUCCCUGGCACCUUAUCAUGAGAAGGAUGUGGGACUGGGCUGACCAGCCCUAUGUUCAGAGGCAGCGUCCCACUGACUGCCAGUUGCAGAGGGCUGCUACAGUCAUGCCCAAUACUAGCCACUAUCCCCCCUUGAGAAAACAUUACGGCAAGCUGUUAUUCAACCAGUGCUGUGGGUGGGUAUCAUCAUCUCACCAGCACUAGGGUGUUCAUUUCCAAGUGCAGGGCUGAAGGAGAAAUGCUAACAUGCAGCAGGAAAUGUUGGUGAGGCCUGGGACUAAAGUUCUGGUUGAACUUCACCAACAGUGAGCUUCAUAGGGCUUUGCUUAGGAUGGGAGAAGUCUCACAAGAGGCUUUGAAGGAUGCAAAAGGGCUAGUGAAAUUUCCCAGGGGGAGGGAGGAGAUUCUGCACAUCUGUAAGCAGGAAUCUGCCUGCCAUGAAGUCAGACAAAUGGUCCAUGUAGACCAGUAUUGCCUAUACCAGGCACCCUCAAACUCGGCUCGCCAGCUAUUUUGGGACUACAACUCCCAUCAUCCCUAGCUAACAGGACCAGUGGUCGGGGAUGAUGGGAAUUGUAGUCCCAAAACAUCUGGAGGUCCGAGUUUGGGUAUACCUGGUCUACACUGAGUGCUGGCAGUGGCUCCCUAGGAAUCUCCCAGUCCGACCAGUAGAUAAUGGGGAUUGAAACUGGGACCUUCUGCAUGAAAAGCAGAUGUUCCGCCACUGAGCUAUAGCCCUUCCUCCAAACAAGGCAGCCCACACAGGACAUGGCUCUUAGCGAAGAUGUCAAGGAGAGCUGUCACUGAAGGAAGGUAGCCCCAUGGCUGAUUUACGCGACUGACAUUUCCUAUGGAUUUCUCGGCGUGUUCUCGGGCUGCUCUCCUGAAUGCUGCAAAACAAAUACAGAUGGUGACUAACUCCAGCCACUCCUUCCACUCACUUUCUGAAGCGUUUUCAGGACACAGUGUAUUUUAUGGUAACAUGGCCAUACGUAGGAUAAUUUACAAGACCAAGUCAAGCUAUCAAAAUCCACUGGAGAAGUCAAUCAAUGUUGACUGCACUGCGUCCAAAACACUUUCAUAAAUCAACUCUGGUUCCUGUUCUCAUGAAACUGGCUGUCUUGAUGUUAGAUCUGUGCUGGAUAACCUUUUGAAAAGGCUGGUUGUUUGGGAGGCGUUCUCUGUAUUAAGAUCACUGCCACUGGGGAUAAAAGUUCGGAGGCAGAAUACAUGCUUUCACGGAGGAGGACUUGGGUUAAAUUUGCAGCAUCCCCAGAUCUUAGCUAGCAGGAAAGAUUCUGUAGGAAAGGUAUCUGGCUGAUGUUUUGAAGAGCCACUGCUGCACUGAAUAGCCAGAAAUAUUUUAGACCAUCCUAUGACAUAAUGCGGUAUAUGGCAGCUCCUUAUUUGAUUACUACGUUGCAUUUUCUGUAUUUGAGCACGGCUGUCAUUUCCACCUGAAGCAGUAUGGCAGAACAACUGUCAACACUAUCAUAGUGUCCCUGCAAAUCUGCCUUUCUGUCAUAGGGAAAUGUGGAACAUUGCACAGUUCUUUGAAAAUUGACCAUUGAUAAUAAAGUGCAACAUGGUUUUAAUAAUAAUAAUAAUAAUAAUAAUAAUAAUAAUAAUAAUAAUAAUUUAUACCCCGCCCAUCUGGCUGGGUUUCCCCAGCCACUCUGGGUGGCUUCCAACAAAAUAUUAAAAUACAAUAGUGUGUCAAACAUUAAAAGCUUCCCUAAACAGGGC